rnacentral:rRNA from 1 species
AGUGAACGCUGGCGGUAGGCCUAACACAUGCAAGUCGAACGGCAGCACAGUAAGAGCUUGCUCUUACGGGUGGCGAGUGGCGGACGGGUGAGGAAUACAUCGGAAUCUACUUUUUCGUGGGGGAUAACGUAGGGAAACUUACGCUAAUACCGUAUACGACCUACGGGUGAAAGCAGGGGAUCUUCGGACCUUGCGCGAUUGAAUGAGCCGAUGUCGGAUUAGCUAGUCGGCGGGGUAAAGGCCCACCAAGGCGACGAUCCGUAGCUGGUCUGAGAGGAUGAUCAGCCACACUGGAACUGAGACACGGUCCAGACUCCUACGGGAGGCAGCAGUGGGGAAUAUUGGACAAUGGGCGCAAGCCUGAUCCAUCCAUACCGCGUGGGUGAAGAAGGCCUUCGGGUUGUAAAGCCCUUUUGUUGGGAAAGAAAAGCAGCAGGUUAAUACCCCGCUGUUCUGACGGUACCCAAAGAAUAAGCACCGGCUAACUUCGUG